UACGUAGGGUGCAAGCGUCAAUCGGAAUUACUGGGCGUAAAGCGUGCGCAGGCGGUUUUGUAAGUCUGUCGUGAAAUCCCCGGGCUCAACCUGGGAACUGCAUCUGUGACUGCAUUGCUGGAGUGCGGCAGAGGGGGAUGGAAUUCCGCGUGUAGCAGUGAAAUGCGUAGAUAUGCGGAGGAACACCGAUGGCGAAGGCAAUCCCCUGGGCCUGCACUGACGCUCAUGCACGAAAGCGUGGGGAGCAAACAGG
rnacentral:rRNA from 1 species